UGUCGCUGCCCUCCUUGGGCGUUUCCUCCCUUUGACUGGCCCGCCGGUGCAAACCGUGCGGGCCGUUCUUUUACGUGG
rnacentral:sRNA from 1 species